ensembl:lncRNA
UUCAAAGGUCUCUCUCUCUGCUGUUCCCUCCGCUUCCCACUCCUCUCCGCUCACCCUCUCCUGCAAACUCAGUGGAUUCUACCCUGACAACGUGUCUAUUCUCUGGAUCCAGAAUGGAAAGGUUCUUCCUAACUGUACUUUGUCCGUCCAGAAUGAGGAAGGAAUGUACGGGAGACAUCAGUAUCUCACCCUGAGUGCGGAGGAGAGGAGCAGAGGAGGAGAGGUGCAGUGUGUGGCCAGCCACCUGAUGUGAAAGAACCUGCCUUUGGAACUAUUGACCUCUCCGCCGUUGACCCACAAGAGAAGCUGAAGUCUCUGAACAUCUCAGCGAUUGUUCUGCCCCCCAGGGUGGUUGUGAGUAAGAAAGGCAGAGUCACCAUCAGUGUGGAAGGCAGGUUGGCAGAGAGAGUACAGACCACAUGGUUUCUCAAUGAUGUCCCCAUUACAGACACUGCAUACAGAGAGAAAAAAUAUGGUCCUUUUUGCUUGGCAGCCUAUACUCCUCACAGCUCUCAUGUGUCUUUGGUGUCGGAGAAAAGCUCUCUGCUGCCCUCUGCUGCUGCCUCAGGAUAUUACAAGCUGCACACUCAGAUGUUGCCAUGCUUGUUCUCCUGCUCCAUGAAGCAGCUGUUCUCCUCCGUCACAUUUAUAACAAACCUGUCCAUUCACAAGGGUGCAGUUUUCAAAUGCCACAUCUCGUAUAAGGGCAAAGACAAGCUUGUGGCCAAGAGAGUUUCCGACAAGUUUACUAUUCAAGCACCACCUGAAGUUUCAUUGAUCCAGUUCUCAGAGUCAAAUGAGGAAGGAGGCGUUGUGACCAUGAUGGCCCAGGCCUCUGGCUUUCAUCCGGACAUCACCACCUUCCGCUGGUUCUGUGAGGGCAGCGAGCUGAGCCCCGUGUCUGUCCCGCAGGUGCUGGCGGCCCCUCGGCCAGAUGCUGCAGGCUUCUUCUCUUCUUCUGCAGGCCCCCGCCGCAGAGCUGGAGCGAGGGGAGACCCAGUAAUUGGCGUGGGGAGACGGUAUAUAAGACAGUCGGAAACCGGCGAGGAGGAGAGAGAGCUGAGGACUCGUGGGGACCAGGAAGCCGGAAGCCAGAGAUAUUCCGAUGAGUAUUGUGAGACAGUGACUAAGUGUGUGCGCAUGUGGCGCGAUUGUUUUUUGUUUGGUAAAUAAAAAUACCCACGAGCCUCAGACAGCUGACCCGGUCUCCUUCCUUCUUACCCGACGAACAAGGGAAAUACUACACUGGUGCCGAAACCCGGGAGGAAGGAGGGACGCACUGCCGAAGAUCCCUCAUCGCUGGGGUGAAUCUGCGGUGCCAUCGAGCAUGGUGGAGCAGUCUGCCGCCGUGGACGCUCGAGGCGGUGGGCUGGAGUGAGUUGCCGGGGGGACGGACGAGCUUGCUGCCGGAUGCCUGAGAUGUGGAGGGACGGCUGCCUUCCGGAAGGGAGCAGAGGAGUCGCCGCCGUUCGCCUGGGGCCACCACCAAAUCAUCGGCAUAUUUAAUAAUGUGCCUGCCUGGAUAUUGACUUCUGCACCUUUCAGAGUAUAGAAUAAAUAACAGAGGUGAAAGAAUACAGCCCACUGAGGGGUAAAGCUCCCGGGAAUGUCCUCCAUUUACUCAUACUCUUUGAGAUCUUCUGGUCAGAAAAUCCAAAAUCCAGGUUAAAUAGUAUUAAAUGCUGUCUAUAAAUUAAAGUAUUAAAUGAAAAUCUAUAAAUAACCCAAUGAGCAAUGAGUCUUACUCAUGCAUGACUCAUUGUCAAAUGAUUUGGUUCCAUAAAGCUAAUUUUUUAACAUAGCUCAAGCUCAAUCACUUUGAAAAUGCUGGGAAACUAACCGGGUCAGGAGUAGGCUAAACUGAUCCUCUAACACUGACCAAUACAAUCUAAAAUUGCCCUUUAAAGCAUUAAAAUCACAAAAUUAAAAGUUAAAAUGAAUAAUAAAAAACAGACUACAUUUGAACUGGUAACAGGAACACGUGAACUCAUUUGAGCUUAAUAAUUGGGACUGUAUUAGCUUACAUUUGAUUUUCCCAUUAUAGUCCCUUUGCGGUUACUGUUUUGCAUUGUAUGUCGGUUUAAAAUUUUCCAUCACAUUAAAUGUCCCACAACAAAUAUUUAAAAAAAAAAUUAUAUUUUACUCUAUUGCGCUCCGCCUGAUUAACACGCAUCGCCAGCAAAAUGCAAAAUGGAUAUGUUUGCAUGACUUUCAAACAUUUACAGAUGAAGAAUAUUAGUUAUGCACUGAGGAAAACACAACAUCUCAAAUGCACUAAACCAGUGGUUCUCAAACUUUUUAUACCGAGUACCAUCUCAGAAAAAAUUUGGCACCAUGAUGACCAACAUUAAAAUACUGCAUACUGUGCAAAAUACUGUGUAUAUUUAUAAUGUAAUACAUUAUAUAAAUAUACAUACAUGCAUGUAUAUAUUUACGAAAAAUGUAUGUUUAUAUAUUAAAUAUAUUUGUAUAUCAUAUAAAUUAUAUGAAUAUGAAUAUAUACAUGUAAAUAUAUGUAAAUAUUUUCAAAAUAUAUAUUGUAUGUGUGUGUAUAUGUAUAUACAUAAUAAAUCUACACAGUACACACAUAUAUUAUGUAAACAAAAACAUUUAUUUUGGUUGCGAUUAAUGGUGAUUAAUUGUUGUACAGCACUAGUUUUAACAUUCAUUUAUAUUUAAUUUAGAGAUUCCUCUGUGUACCACACUUUUAGAAGCACUGCAUUAAACAGCACACAUUUAUACAUUUAUAUUACAUUUAUACGCCGUUUGUCAUGCUGGAUCAAUUUUAACCAUGAUCGACAUUCAGGGCUGCUAAAGAGCAAGUGUGCACAUUAUAUUAUCUUGACUCAUUGAACCCGGAUCAAAUUAGUGAGAUUAAUAGUGUCAAAAAUUUUAAGUUAACCCAGGAAAGCCCAAAAAAGAAACCACCUGUUACAAUAAAAAGUGGUAGUGGUUUGCUGAAUUUUCCAUCAGGUUUUUGAUUGUAAUUCUUUAUUAUUUGACAAGUCACACAGGUUUUCACAUGACGUUUCAUGUCGGACCACAUGCCUGGCCAGAAUGCUACUUCUUGGAGUCGUUUGUACGUUUUAUAGAUUCCUCCAUGGCCACUAAGACAACUGGAAUGGUAGUGCUUCAGCAAAGAGGGACGAAGACUGCUGGGAACGUAGACUCGGUAGUGCAUCUGGUUAUCUGGAAGGACAACACCUGACAAUGGCAGGUCUGACUCCUUGUGGCUUGUGUACAGAGUGCAGCUCGAGAUUGUCGCAGGACCCAACAGAUGAGUCGCCUGGUGGUUUUGGUGGAACCCAUGACCCAUUGCAGAGCAGAGUGGACAGUGACAACUGUGAAGAGUUUGUGUUCCAGCACCCAAACCAGUGUCACUGGCAUCGAUGUAAACGGUGAAGGGGAGCUGAAGAUCUGGAUGGCCAAGGAUGGGUGGUGAGUGAGUUGAGGGGUUCGGCUAUCCUUGAAAAUUUUGGGACAUACCGAUGAUACCACCCAGCCAAUCCAAGGAACCUUUGAACCUCCUUCAGAUUUCUAGGCACAGGUUCCCCCAGAACUGUUUCCAUAAGUCUCUGGAAAGUGGUGGGAGCAUUUUUGAGACCAAACGGCAUAACAUUAACUGACAGAGACCUGCAGGAGUGAUGAAGGCAGUCUUGGCUUUGCUAUUGGGGUCCAUUGCUACAUGCCAAUAGCCACUGUUAAGAUCAAUAGUGGAGAAAAUGGCUACUCCUGGAGAGUGACUCCAGGAUUUCUGUGAUGUUUGGAAGAGGGUAAGCAUCACUUUCAGUUACAGAAUUAACCUCUCUGUAGUCCACACAGAAUCUAAGUUUGCCAUCCUCUUUGGGUACCAAGACCACUGGGGAGGCCCAACCAAAGUGGUAUGGCUCAACAAUUCCUUGCAUCAACAUUUCCUCAAGCUGUUCCUCCAUGGAAAGCUGUUUAAGAGGGGACAAGCAAUAUGGUUUUUGCUUAAUCCUCUGGGGUUCUUCAUUUAGGAGUCACACUCUGGACCUUCGCAGUCAAAAGUGACAGGACCCCUGAAAUCAAAAAUUUUUUUCCCCAGUAAAAUCAAUGUAAUAUAUUUUUAUUCAAUAAUAUUUUUUCUUUUGAAUUUUGAGAGAAUUUUAUGGUAAUAAUUAAUAUUUACUAUAAUUAUGACUAUUUUUCCCCUUUAAUAAUAAUAAUAAAAAAAUUAUAUAUAUAUAAUUUUCAUUAUUUUUCAAUUAAUGCUGUAUUUCAGGUUAAAAUAGAGACUAGGCCUUUAAAAUCCAUUUUUUAAAGUCAGAUUGGUGCCUCCUGGUGGGAGUAGUGAGCAAUAAUUUCAUGCAUUAACAUAGUUAACCACUAGAUUGAUGUACAGCUCUCUAAAGAAAGGCUUGCGAAUUCCCUAGUUGUUUUUGCACAUAUUUUCUCCUUUUUUUUAGGUUGUUGAUUUGAAUAUAUAUUUAGAGAUUCUCAAAGACUACUUUUGUUAAGUUUUUUGUUUGUUUGGUUGGUUUAAGGAAUCUCCCUUUUCUGUCCAAGAUACUAGAAAAGGUAGUAUCCUCACAAUUAUAUUCCUUCUUAGAGAAAAAUGGCAUCUGUGAGGAUUUCCAGUCAGGAUUUAGACCGUAUCAUAGUACUGAGACUGCUCUCCUUAGAGUUACAAAUGACCUGCUCUUAUCAUCUGAUCGUGGUUGUAUCUCUCUAUUAGUGCUAUUGGAUCUUAGUGCUGCGUUCGACACUUUUGACCACACCAUUCUUUUGCAUAGGCUAGAACACUUUGUUGGCAUUAAUGGAAGUGCAUUAGCAUGGUUUAAAUCGUACUUAUAUGACCGCCAUCAAUUCGUAGCAGUGAAUAAAGAGGUAUCAUAUCGAUCACAAUUGCAGUAUGGAGUACCUCAAGGCUCAGUACUAGGGGCCGUUACUCUUCACGCUUUACAUGUUACCCUUGGGAGAUAUCAUCAGGAAACACGGUGUUAGCUUUCACUGUUAUGCUGAUGAUACUCAGCUCUAUAUUUCUUCGCAGCCCGGCGAAACAUACCAAUUUGAAAAACGGAAUGCAUUGUCGAUAUAAAAAACUGGAUGACGAGUAAUUUCUUACUGCUAAAUUUUGAAAAAAACAGAGGUGUUAAUUAUAGGACCUAAAAGCUCUGCAUGUAAUAACCUAGAAUGCUGUCUAAGACUUGAUGGCUGCUCUGUCAAUAAUUCGUCAUCAGUUAGGAACCUAGGUGUGCUAUUUGAUAGCAACCUUUCCUUAGAAAGCCACGUUUCUAGCAUUUGUAAAACUGCAUUUUUCCAUCUCAAAAAUAUAUCUAAAUUACGGCCUAUGCUCUCAAUGUCAUCACUGCACUGGCUCCCUAUCAAACAUCAUAUAGAUUUUAAAAUCUUGCUUGUUACUUAUAAAGCCCUGAAUGGUUUAGCACCUCAGUAUAUGAAUGAGCUCUUGUUACAUUAUAGUCCUCCAUGUCUGCUCCGUUCUCAAAACUCUGGCAAUUUGAUAAUACCUAGAAUAUCAAAGUCAACUGUGGACGGCAGAUCCUUUUCCUAUUUAGCGCCCAAACUCUGGAAUAACCUACCUAACAUUGUUCAGGAGGCAGACACGCUCUUGCAGUUUAAAUCUAGAUUAAAGACCCAUCUCUUUAACCUGGCUUACACAUAACAUACUAAUACACUUCUAAUAUCCAAAUCUGUUAAAGGAUUUUUAGGCUGCAUUAAUUAGGUAAACCGGAACCGGGAACACUUCCUAUAACACCCGAUGUACUUGCUACAUCGUUAGAAGAAUGCCAUCUACGCUAAUAUUAGUCUGUUUCUCUCUUAUUCCGAGAUCACUGUGGCCACCAGAUCCAGUCUGUAUCCAAGUCAGAGGGUCACUGCAGUCACCCGGAUCCAGUACGUGUCCAGCCCAGAUGGUGGAUCAGCACCUAGAAAGGACCUCUACAGCCCUGAAAGACAGCUUAGACCAGGACAACUAGAGCCCCAGAGACAGAUCCCCUGUAAAGACCUUGUCUCAGACGACCACCGAGACAAGACCACAGGAACCAGUUGAGUCCUCUGCACAAUCUGACUUUGCUGCAGCCUGGAAUUGAACUGCUGGUUUCGUCUGGUCAGAGGAGAACUGGCCCCCCGACUGAGCCUGGUUUCUCCCAAGGUUUUUUCUCCAUUCUGUCACUGAUGGAGUUUUGGUUCAUUGUCGCUGUCGCCUCUGGCUUGCUUAGUUGGGGACACUUCAUUUACAGCGAUAUCGUUGACAGAUACAAUUUAAACUGAACUGAGCUACAUGAUGACAUCACUGAAUUCAAUGAUGAACUGCCUUUAACUGUCAUUUUGCAUUAUUGACACACUGUUUUCCUAAUUAAUGUUGUUCAGUUGCUUUGACGCGAUCUUUUUUGUUUAAAGCGCUAUAUAAAUAAAGGUGACUUGACUUGACUUGACUUUAAAUGGUAAUUUGAAGUGCCAGUUUUACUUUAUAAUACAGUCAAACCUUGCAUUAGAAAGAGAACAAAUGGAAAGCAUUUUGUUACCCAUUAUUUUAAUUCUAAUUUAAUAAAAAUGCAUUCAUUCAUUAUAACAAUUUUUUAUAAACCUUUUAUAAUAAACAUUUUAAU